UUUUGUUCUAGGAUAUUUUGAAGUGAGAAAGCAGCUGCAUCUGGAGUAUAAGGUAAUCAGUUGAUUCCUUUUUCCAGUUUUUUGUUUUUGUUUUUGUGUUUUUUUUAUCUUCCUUAGGUAUGUAUAAUCACUAGAUGAUUUGCUAUAAUCACUAGUCGGUUUUGUUUGGUCCAGCAGGCUGAUUUUUGUGUGACCAGCUACCCAACAUGGGUCUGACUGGUGUUUGUGUUGGAUCCAGCAGGUUGAUUGACCUGGCUACCUUACUAAUGUGGAUCGUCACUGUAGUAUUUUUGAACUCCUAGUGAUAUGUGAAAUACCUUAUAGCAUAUUGUUGUUGGAAUUGAGUAAAUUGAAUCAUAUUACAAAGAUGAUAGACAAGAUGAACAUUGACAAACUCUCUGUAUGUAAAGAUUUUGACCCAAUUAUUGCUGAAAAUCUUAUAAUUACUUGUACCCUUGUGUAUGCUAUGAAGCUGCUUUAUUCCUAUUCUUUUCUCCAUAAUCCCCACCUUAUAGUGUCUCUCGCCUUUCAAUCUGUGGAGGAUUUUCGCAAUGCAGCAAUCAGCUGAAUGCAAGCUGACAUGACAUCUCUGUUUGGAACUAUAACUUACCAGUCAAAUCAAUCUUCGAGUAUCUUCUUGGGCAAGCCUUUUUCCGCAAAGUUUCAAGGAGGAAGUACAUAGAGCCAACUCAAAGAUUAUAGGUUAUGUUUCUUCCUUCAGUGCACACAAUUAGUCACAGAAGCCGGAUUCUGUGUUUCCCUCCUAAGGCUUGUUCCUCCGUCUCCUUGAGUUCCAAAGACAGCUCAAUGCAACAAAAGUUGGGUGAGCAGUUGAUUAACAUCUAAAGAACAACGUUGGAAACACAUACAAUAUUACAGAAAUGUUGGAAAAGGCAAUGGCAACUCCUCCAACUGUUUCACCAAUAUGGUGUUCCCCAUUACUUGAGGUAUGUCUAUGUAUGAACAAACACAGACCUCUGCAUAUAAUUUCUCUCUGGUGCCAAGAAGAAAAAUUGAUUAGUUGAGCUUCUGGCAAGUUAUAAACUGAUAAUCUAAACAUUGUACCUAAAAGUAUGCGCAGGAUUUUUUUUCUCACUAAAUUCUUCUAUUUUCUUAUCCUAAUACACUUCUAAUUAUUGGAUUAUACAUCGAGAUUCAUGUCUCAAGAUUUUCAUGUGAUCCAAUGAUUCAGGAUGUAAUAGGACAAAGACAGGAAUUUGAAUAUAGAGAAUCCUUGGUAUGUUGAAUUUACAUGAAGUUUUGACCCGAUAUCAUGUUAAUCAACUUGAGCUGAUUUGAGUUGUUUGCUUCAAUGGGGUCCAUUGAUUCGUUGUUAUGAUGACCUGUCUGUAAUACAUAUUGUUUAAUGGUUAUUAGAUUUGUGAUUUUAUGAUUGUGAUUUAUUUAUUUUUGGUUACAAUUGUUCUGUAUACAGUUUGAAAUUACUGCUAAUCUUCUACUCGUUGCUAUUGGGUUUUAGCUUUUUCUUGUUAGCUUCUAAAAAUCUUAUUAGUCGAACAACCUGGAUUAGAUGUUUAAUUCUUCCACGUCAUGGAAGACUUGGUUGCUAGGAGAAAUAAAUCAUGUUUCUUAAUUGUGUACUUUGAUCAUAAUACUAUGUUCUGUUGCCAUUUCCAUUUUAAGUAUUCAU